AAUAACGGCCUGCCAUUGUUGCCAUGGCAACUCUCGAAGCGUUAAAAACUCCUCGGCCCUAACCCCGAUCGUCCGUUUAAAGUUUCACGGCGAAAGGGUUCCACCCGGGCCGAAACCGACUAGGCAAAUAUUUGUGUGUUACGGUACGAUGUAUCUCUUUCCGUGAAGUGUGUACAAGACCGACGCGAUGACUUGUAGGACAAGAAGCGAAUCGAGAGAGAGAGAGAGAGAGACUUUGUACGCGAACGAAGCUGAUCAAUAUUCAUGGAUCCCCGUUGUAGAGCGGUUUUGGCGCUAUCGGAGUGGGGUGGAUUUAUGCGAAUGCUUCCUUCCGCCUGAACGCGCAGGCCAUUCUUCUUAUAAUUCGCUAGUUUUAAAUUAGUGAGAAAUCACGGAAUACUUCUCGCCACGAUCGCAUCGAUAAUAUGAGAACCUCUGAUUGGUCUAAUGUGAGAACCUUCUUGAUAAAUCAAAAGACACGGUAGCAUCUUAGUGCGCCAUAUUGUAUACAUAUGAGAUAAUUAUAACGGGGUAAUGUAACGUUUACAAGUUUCUUAAUUAAGUAGUAAGCUUUGUAAAAUUAGUUCGAAAGAAUACUAAUAAAUUUUAAAUAGAUCUUCCUAAAAAAAGAAAAA